CGUAUACUGAAGGCUAUAUGAGUGAAAUAAUAGAAGAUCUCGAAGAGUCCUAAUUUAAAAAUUAUUGAAUUGGUGGCACAAAAUGUUUCAAGUCCUUUUCCCUACUUCCUUAAAUAAACCCACAUGAUGUAUCUGUGUGUUUACAUGGGCUGAGUACUGUGGAUGUGUCCUUCCUGCAACCACCUAAAGCCAGCUUUUGCUCAGAAGGCU
rnacentral:lncRNA from 1 species